GCCAGGUGUGGUGGCACACACCUGUAAUCCCAGCUACUUGGGAGGCUGAGAUGGGAGAAUCACUUGAGCCCGGGAGGCAGAGGUUGCAGUGAACUGAGAUCACACCACUGCACUCCAGCCUGGGCAACAGAGUGAGACCCUAUCCCAA
rnacentral:SRP_RNA from 1 species